rnacentral:rRNA from 1 species
UACAGAGGGGGCAAGCGUUGUUCGGAAUUACUGGGCGUAAAGUGUGCGCAGGUGGCCGCGCAUGUCGAGUGUGAAAUCCCCGGGCUUAACUUGGGAAUUGCGCUCGAAACUACGUGGCUCGAGUGUGGCAGAGGAAGGUGGAAUUCCAGGUGUAGCGGUGAAAUGCGUAGAGAUCUGGAGGAACACCGAUGGCGAAGGCAGCCUUCUGGGCCAACACUGACGCUCAUGCACGAAAGCGUGGGGAGCAAACAGG